CACGCCCUGCCCUCCCAAUUACGAUACCACACCAACCUCCAUCGAACCAGCUCGUCUUCUUCCUCUCCUCCAUUUCCUCUCCUCCCCUGGAGCACCAGAAAGGAUCUCCAUUUCUUCGAUCUCCUUCGGCUCCGCGCCAUCCAUGCCACCCUAGGCCAGGGCAGCAGAUCAACCUCCACAAACAAGGUAAUUUAGCAAUAGCAAGAUGUACCAACUAGCAAGCGGUCAUGAAGUUCCAUCCGUUCUGGACAAAGAGAAUCUCAGCGAUGCCUCUCCUAAUGAACUUGGCAGUGAUGUGGACUGUUUUGGUGGAUCAAGUGGCCCUCCCGGCAGUCCUGCGAUUACAUCUAGGCUUUCUCUGUUGAAAUUAGGUUCAGUCAUAGCUAAGUUUUCUGAUUUCAAGAAAAAGCUCGUAAGGGAAAUUGGGUUUGAUGGCUUGCUCCAGAUAAAAUCAUGGCAGAAGAUAAAUCUGAAGUACAGUUCUUAUCUGAUGGAUAGGGUUCAUGUGGAUAGUAGUACAAUCAACUUGGAGGGUUAGGGCAUGCUUACGCUAUCUGACAAAGAAGUACAAUACGUUUUUGGUAUCCCUUGCGGUGAGAAAACAAUAAGUUCAUAAGGCAUUGAACCGUCUGAAGCAUGUAUUGAGUAUUCAAGAUUUGCAACUAGCUUUGGUGACAAAGGUACACACAGCCUCAAGGCAGCAGCGGCAUAUCUGAUCCGCGACAUCACCGUUGAAUCUAGGAAGAUAGAAGUUGACUGCUUCAAGAUUGCAUUUGUCAUUUUCGCCAUAGGUCAUGUACUGGCACCUUCAACAAAGCAUGACUACACUACAAUUGAUUUCUGGGCAGCAAUUAAUGAUGUAUCUAAAAUCAGAGAUUGGAACUGGUGUGGUUACCUUCUGAAGCAACUUUUUCAAGCUGCCAGGAAGUUUAAGACAGAUGUAACAAGGCGCACCCCCACCAUUCACAUUGUUGGAUGCCACUUCUUCCUGCAGGUCUGAUAAAAUCUUAAUACCAGCAAGGAAAUGGUAUGCGCCACGGACAAUGAUCUGAACCAAAACAAGUCAAGGGAAUCACCCAACACAACAAGAGUUCAGACUCCAUCUACGCCUAUCCUCAGAGCCGAUUAUGGCAAGGUUGGUCCACUGGAAUUUUCAAAACAUCUGUGUACCAAGUACCCAUCUGUUUUGGGCGAGAAGCUUGGUAUACUUCUUAGAGAGCACAAUGCGCGUGGGCUGGCUUGCAUAUCAGAAAUGAGGGAAUCUUUCCAAAACUCGACGUUUGGUUUCGCAGAUAAAAUGUUAGGUGUGUAGCCGAAAACUGUACAUGUUGCAAGGAGAAUGGUCGGAAACAGUGCAUUCUGAAGAGCGAGGAACCGAACAACGCCAACAUUAGCAAUUUGUCACCAGAGAAGAUGAAUGUUUGUCACCCCAAUUGCCAAUAGGAUAGUAGCAAGGUUGUCUGCGCCAGUCGAUAAUGAAGGUACCUCAUCAGCAAAUAGCUCAAUUGCCCAUAAAAGGGCUGCCGCACCCAACUCAAGCAACGAGCAAGACACAUCAAAGAAAAUCUGUGUUCGCCAGGACAUGCCUCUUUAGAUGGUUUCUCCAUCGGUCAUUGACACUGCCAACAACUCAUCUUUGUCAGCCAAGAAAGAAGCUCGCAAUGAGGUUGCCAACUUGGUUUACAACUUCUUUGAUGAUCUUACAACUGUCAUUGCUACAUACUACGCUGAGCUCUGCCCAAGGGCUGAUUAUGUCACGUUUGGCACUACAAACGACAUUGUCCCAACAAAAAUGCGAUUGCCAAAGUGUAAUUUAGCACGCGACUCUUGGGAAAUUGGAUCUGUACCACUCCCACCAUCACCAACAGUUCUGAAAGCUAUCAAGGAUUGGUUAUCUGCUGCAUCGCCCUUGCUGCUAGAGAGGAAAUGGAUUGUGCACCCACAUCCAAGGCUAGUAUCAGUUGAUGGAACAGAAAUCCAGCAACAACUAGCAGGAAGCGAACAUCUUGGCCAUGAGAUGGCAUCAGUAAUUUAUAGAUGCCUCCAUCAGAUGGAUAUAUUGUUCUCUAAAGAUAGCGCAGGGAUGAUAUGGAGGAAAUUCAUGGAACCUAAGUUUCUCAUAAGUCCAACGUUAACUAGCAUUUUCUACAUCAUUUCCUUGAACUAUUGAUUACUAAAUUCUCCAUCACAUGCCUUAACCAAAAAAUGCCAUUGUUUUGCAGACAACAGUGUUGUCGAACGUUGACCCCUUAACAAUAUAAUCUAUCCGCACUAGCUUCACCGGUGCACUUGAUAAUUGGAACCCUGCCUCAACGAGAGUGUGGCACAUACCAGCCAUCUUGCCCGAUGGAUGGGCCGUCUACUCAUUUGAUAUGCUGAAAAAGAGGAUAUUUGUUCUUGAUCCAGCCAUGUGAGACCAUUUGGCUUUAGCAAUCGCAGGGUAAACAUGCAUACAUAUGUGUCAAACCUUCUGCACUCCGCCCUCUUCAGAUGCCUGCAGUGCCUCUAUGAGUCGUGGCAUUGCAGUUGUGGAGAAUGGACCAGGUCAUUUCUAAUGCUCAUGGCGGAGAAGGUUGAUAAGGAGGAUUAUGGCAUAUGUGCGACAUUUCUUGCUAGGAAUUUCAACGGCGAAAAGCUGCAAAUCCCUUUGACCAAGGCCAACCUGGACAUGCACAAGAACCUCACGCUGUACGAGGUCAUGCGUCUCAAAGGCAAUGAGUCUCUAAUCCCACAUGAUGCCAUUGAAGCUAUCAAGGGCUCUUUCAUUGUCAUUUGAAUUAUUUGUAUGCAUAUAUAUUUUCUAUGUAUGGGGAACCCGAAACAAACAAUGAUGCAUCUCAUGUUGUAAAUAGGCAUUUUGUAUCAGACUAUUUUUCUUAAACACAAUGCAAGACCCUUCAAUCAUUCACAUAA